rnacentral:misc_RNA from 1 species
AGUGUCCUGGACCAACUGAGCACCGAUCCACAAGCUCUAGCAGACACCCUCAAGUUCCACGUGACCAAUGGAAUCAUUAUUUCUCCCAUGAUUCAAGAUGGAACGGAAUUUACCUCGCUGUCUGGAAAGAACCUCACAGCACAUCGAUAUGCAAAUCAGAAAUACGUGAUUCAAGGUGUGAACAUAGAGUCCGGAGACAAAAUUGUCCUGAACGGUGUGAUUCACACCAUCGACUCGGUGCUGAUGCCCUCUGACGUGUCAAUCUCGGAAUAUCUCGGGACCCACGAGACCAAUUUUGCCGACUUGUACGCUGCUCUUGUGCUGGAAGGAUUUGAAAAUGCCUUAGAAUUUGGGACUUACACAUUAUUUGCUCCACGAGAUGAUGCAUUUGCUCAAAUUUUGGCCAACUUGCCUACUAUUGCUGCUGAUGACACUUACUUCAAAAAAGUCUUAAUGUACCACGUGGUACCAGGGGUGUGGUUUUCCGCUGGAUUGACAGAUGGCAUGUCACUUCCCACUCUGGCUGGAACAAACCUUACUAUCAGUGUGCAAGGAUCAGGUGUCUACGUAAAGACAGCACAAGUCAUAGAGGCCGAUGUUCCAUUGUCCAAUGGAUGCCUACAUGUGAUUGAUGACGUACUUUCUCCUCCAAAAUAAAAACAAUUUUCUCUC